UAAAAACAUGUCUUUAGCUGAGCACAGUGGCACGCAUCUGUAGUUCCUGCCACUUGACAGGCUGAGAUGGGAAGAUCAUUUGAGGCCAGGAGUUCGAGGCUGCAAUGCGUUAUAAUAGUGUCUGUGAAUAACCACUGCACUGCAGCCUGGGCAACAUAGCAAGACCCAUCUUUAAAAAAAUCUGUCUCAUCUAUCAUCUCUCUAUCUGUCAUCUAUCUAAUCUAUGUCUUCAGGCCAGAUCUAGCCUGUAAACUGGUAAUUGAGGCCCUCUCCUCUAGCAGCAGUAGUAACAAUUAGAAGUGAUUGGAAUAGGGAGCAGUGUAUUUGGGUUUAGGAGCAGGGAGCAAGACGGUUUAAUGACAGAGAAGGAAGCUAAAGAUAUUAGAGUUUAUAAAUCAGUUUGUUUAUAAAUAGGCACGCACAUA
rnacentral:lncRNA from 1 species